GACGGAGGGUGCUAGCGUUGUUCGGAAUCACUGGGCGUAAAGGGCGCGUAGGCGGCCUCAGGUGUCGGAUGUGAAAGCCCGGGGCUCAACCCCGGAGGUGCAUCCGAAACUCUGGGGCUGGAGGUCGGAAGAGGAGGGUGGAAUACCCAGUGUAGAGGUGAAAUUCGUAGAUAUUGGGAAGAACACCGGUGGCGAAGGCGGCCAUCUGGACCGCAACUGACGCUGAGGCGCGAAAGCGUGGGGAGCAAACAGG
rnacentral:rRNA from 1 species